UACGGAGGAGGCAAGCGUUAUCCGGAAUUAUUGGGAGUAAAGCGUCCGUAGGUGGUCAUGUAAGUCGGUCGUCAAAGCCAGAGGCUCAACCUCUGUCAGGCGGUGGAAACUGCAAGACUAGAGAGAGGUAGGGGUAGAGGGAAUUCCCAGUGUAGCGGUGAAAUGCGUAGAGAUUGGGAAGAACAUCGGUGGCGAAAGCGCUCUACUGGUCCUUUUCUGACACUGAUGGACGAAAGCUAGGGGAGUGAAUGGG
rnacentral:rRNA from 1 species